CCAAAAAGGGCGAUUUCACUGAGAUAUUGAUAGAUAUAUGUAGUAAUAUAAUAAAACAGCAUAAAUUUUUUUUGGUAAUUUAAAAAAAAAAAAAGCAAUUUAGUUUUAAUUCGACAUCGAAAAUAUUUCAAGGGAGGUAACUCUGAACCGCUGACCCGCAAAAGCGAAAAUACAGAACUUCACAGCAGGGACACAUUUUGAUAAAAUUAAACGAAAUUUGUAGUCUCGGUGCGUCUAUGGAGAAACCUGAAAUGGAAAAAGAGUGGGAGAGUACACGUGGUUAUGAGACAACUUUCAAUAGAUUCAAUUACACUUCAAGCUUGAUGCUGUUAUGUUUUCUGUUUCCAACUGUGACAGAACCUGGAACAGAAAUAAAGUGUGUGACAAUAAUUCAUCAAAAAAUUUAGACUAAUACUCGUUCAUGGAUGCUAAAUUUGGUAGAUCUAGCCAUAAAUUUUUUAUUAUAAUUCAAAGUGGUAUAUAGUUAUAUUUAUAAUAAUUCAUUGUUUGAAUUUGUUUUUAUAAAGCACUUUAUUGAAACAAAAUAAUCAUAGCUGCAUUUAGUAAAUUAUUUAGCACACGUGUGUGACUGCUGUCUCAUGCCUUAAGUGUUUCAUCUGCUAAAAUAUGUUUUGGGGAUAUUUUUUCUGGAUAGAAAUUUACCUUUCUGAUAUUGUACGAGUGUUUGGACAUUCCUUUCAAAGGUGAAAUAUGGCUACUUACAUUGCUUUGUUUCUAAUAAUGAUAUUGAAGGUGUAAAGUAUGUAAAUAUUUAUGUAAGAAAUUGAUUAAACAUAUUGGCCAAUCAUUGGCAUUCGUUGUGUGAUAAGUUUUUACUGGUUUGAGUUAAAAGACUGGUACAUAUGAUAAGUUUUAUUGCAUCUUUUAUUGAAAUCUUCAAGUAUUAAAUAUUAUUAUGAGUCUAGGUAAAUGUAUAUAUAUAUUUGAAAUAUUUUGAAACAAGAAGCUUAUUUUUUAUGUAACGUGUAUCCACUUUCCAUCUGCGAUCUAAACCUUUAUGUUUUCCUUUUUAUUAUUGGUCUAGAUGUACAUUAUUGUAUAAGCGUAAAUAAAUGUGAACUGAAAAUUUUAUUCUGAUGUAACAUUUGCAUCAAUUAUUACGUCAUUAAAUUACGUAUUCCAAGAUUUCUGUGUGUUUUUGUCAUUUUGGAGCGGUUUCGAACCUACCCCAAGAAUACAUAUGUUAUAAGAAAUAAUAGUAACCCUUUAUAUUUUCACUUGAAAUUUUCAGAGAUGCAACAUUGAUAACUGCUUGUAACAUCUAUAUAAGCUUACAACAGAAAUUUCUCUGUUAUUUUUUUGGUUUACAAAAUAAUGACAAUUAAAAUCGUCAUGUCGGCCAUGUUUGGUCACAGAAGUACAAGGCUACUACGACUUUAUUUUGCUUCAUUUGGAUAAUAUAGUGAUGUUUUUUCAAUAAGAGCAACAUAUUUAAUGAAACUAUGACCAUAAAGAA